rnacentral:rRNA from 1 species
UACAGAGGUCUCAAGCGUUUGUUCGGAUUCAUUGGGCGUAAAGGGUGUGUAGGUGGCGCGCUAAGUCGGGUGUGAAAUUUCGGAGCUUAACUCCGAAACUGCAUUCGAUACUGGCGUGCUUGAGGACUUGGAGAGGAGACUGGAAUUUACGGUGUAGCAGUGAAAUGCGUAGAUAUCGUAAGGAAGACCAGUGGCGAAGGCGGGUCUCUGGACAGUUCCUGACACUGAGACACGAAGGCCAGGGGAGCAAACGGG